AUCCCCCCACAUCUCACGGUCGCAGUCAGUUUCACAGAGCAGCGCAGGAGGACGAGACGACAGUUAAAGAACAUUAACAGUUUAGUUUGAAUCUCUCUCAGUCAGUCAGGGGGAGAUUAACUGACAGACUGUAUAACGUUACACGUCUUACCAAGAAACCUUUUAAAGUUUAGCACAAAUGUUUCCCGUGGAAGUUUGAAUCUCUCUCAGUCAGGGGGGAGAUUGACUGACAGACUGUCUACUUGCCACCAAACAGUAAUUACCCUGAAACCUUUUUAAGUAAGGACUAACGUAAACUGACUCUCUGUCUGCUCUCAACCAAACAGUCAUUUAAGACCUUCUAAAGCUUAGCGCAAACGUUUCCUGCGCAAGUUUGAAUCUCUCAGUCAGGGGGGAGAUUGACUGACUGACUGACUGUCUACUCGCCACCAAACGUCAAAAGUCAGUUACACAGAAUCCUUUUAAAAUUUAGCACAAACGUUUCCCGUGCAAGUUUGGAUCUUUACCAUUGAGGGUGGCUGACUGUUCUCGACCAACCAUCAUUCACACGCAAAAACUUUAAAGAUAAGUAUGAACGUGCCCAGAGCAGUUUUCGAUCUUUACCAUUAAGGAGGCUGACUGACUAUCGUCUACCACCCGUCAUUAACACAACAAAAACUAAAGAAAUGUUACUCCAUAUGGACCUAUUCAUUUACUCAUUAUGCUGUGAGUACACCACAGUUUUAUCAGGGAAAAAAUUUAUAUUUGUGUGUUUCUCACUGCUUGGCAAGGACAGAUGUGGCCCUGUUAAAAAUGUUUAAAUGUUGUUUGGUUUAAGGAACGAACAGCACACUGAUUUGUUUUAAAAUAUUCCUAUUUGGACAGUCUGUUAAAGCCAUAAAGGAAUACUUGAUAUAUUUCAUAAGUAACGUGUAAAUGUAAUAUUAGUUUUUA